rnacentral:lncRNA from 1 species
ACCUAGUGCAUUCACAUGUUUUCAAGGGACAAAAGCAGGCUAAAAUAGGCUAAGGCUCAAUAUAUGUGGCUUUUAAUCAAACAAAACAGGAGCAAUUUAGGCACAAACGGGCUCACUAAGGGAAUAGUGAAGGUUCGGAUAAUAUGUUCAGGCCAAACAAUGGUUAUUCCUAAAUGCCUUAAUCAUUUUCAUGCAUUAAGUUCUCAAACUCAGUCUUGACUAUGGCAACAGGGCAAACCAGAAAUUCGGCAUUAAAGUUCGAAUCAACACUCAUCAAAGAAACAAUAAGAGCUAUUCAUGUGUGCUCAUUAAGGCUCAAUCCUCACAAUUUAGUAGGCUUCAAGUAAUUUUGAUCAAAUUUUGCAUGUUUUUCUCAUACAAGAAUACCUACAAACAUAUGCACAAUUCCAUCACAAGAGCAACAACCUAUCAUACCAAUUCAAUAUCUUAAUCUCAACUCUUCACAUCAUCCAUCAUAAAAAUUGCCAAAGAACUUGAAACUGACUCGAAAACCAACAGAGAAACAAAACAAGGACAAACAAAACAAAGACACCCCCCACACUUAGACAACACAAUGUCCUCAUUGUGUGGAGAAAAACUAAGAACCAAGACACAAAAACAAAGAAAGCAUAAAAGAAAAGAAAAAAAACUAAAAUAAAAUAAAAACGAAAGAAAACUAAAAAGAACUUUCCUGAAACUGAAUCAAUCAUCAGGUGGUUUCAAUUUCCGCUUUGGCAGUUUCAC